rnacentral:rRNA from 1 species
UACAGAGGUCCCGAGCGUUGUUCGGAUUCAUUGGGCGUAAAGGGUGCGUAGGCGGCGGGGCAAGUCUGAUGUGAAAUCCCGGGGCUCAACCCCGGAACUGCAUUGGAUACUGCCUUGCUCGAGUACUGGAGAGGGAACUGGAAUUUACGGUGUAGCAGUGAAAUGCGUAGAGAUCGUAAGGAAGGCCAGUGGCGAAGGCGAGUUCCUGGACAGUUACUGACGCUGAAACACGAAAGCGUGGGUAGCAAACAGG